rnacentral:rRNA from 1 species
CCUACGGGAGGCAGCAGUGAGGAAUAUUGGUCAAUGGACGCAAGUCUGAACCAGCCAUGCCGCGUGCAGGAAGACGGCUCUAUGAGUUGUAAACUGCUUUUGUACGAGGGUAAACGCAGAUACGCGUAUCUGUCUGAAAGUAUCGUACGAAUAAGGAUCGGCUAACUCCUUUCCAGCCGCCGCGGUAAUACGGAGGAUUCAAGCGUUAUCCGGAUUUAUUGGGUUUAAAGGGUGCGUAGGCGGUCGGAUAAGUUAGAGGUGAAAUCCCGAGGCUCAACUUCGGAAUUGCCUCUGAUACUGUUCGGCUAGAGAGUAGUUGCGGUAGGCGGAAUGUAUGGUGUAGCGGUGAAAUGCUUAGAGAUCAUACAGAACACCGAUUGCGAAGGCAGCUUACCAAGCUACUUCUGACGUUGAGGCACGAAAGCGUGGGGAGCAAACAGGAUUAGAUACCCUUGUAGUC